rnacentral:rRNA from 1 species
GGAAGUAAAAGUCGUAACAAGGUUUCCGUAGGUGAACCUGCGGAAGGAUCAUUAAAGAAAAACGUCCCGGACGGCGCCGCAAGGCGAAGAACGGACUUUCUCUUCCAACCCACCCCAUUGUGAACCCACCGCGCGAAAGUCAGUAAGGGGUAUACCCUCCGGGAAGCCUCUGAAAAGCUUUGCGAAAACCCACAUACCUACAUACCCGUAUGCAAGUCUCAGAAUGUACAUCUUGCGCUUCGUCGCAAAUAAAAACACAACUUUCAGCAACGGAUCUCUUGGCUCUCGCAUCGAUGAAGAACGCAGCGAAAUGCGAUAAGUAAUGUGAAUUGCAGAAUCCAGUGAAUCAUCGAAUCUUUGAACGCACCUUGCACCCCUUGGCAUUCCGAGGGGUACGCCUGUUUGAGUGUCGUGAAUUCCUCCACUCGACCGCUUCGUUGCGUGUCGGGCUGGGACGUUGGGGGUGUCUUGCGGGUCCCUUUCGUGGUCCGCUCCCCUUGAAUGCAUUAGUGAGGUUCGGCGCUCGGCCUCGACGUGAUAAGUCUAUCUACGUCGCGUCCGGCGCUUUGUUUGUCCUGGUCAGUCCAGGGAAAAACGGGACUUUGCUUCCAACCGUCUUCGGACAAAUCGUGCGCCUUUGUGCGUGCACCUUCGAACUCGACCUCAGAUCAGGUGGGACUACCCGCUGAACUUAAGCAUA